GGCCGAGUGGCAAAAUGGUUACUGCGUUGCUUUCCGAUUAUUAUUGGGCUUACAAAGCUUACGUAAUUUCGAGGCAGAGACUGUGGGUUCGAGUCCCACCUUGGUCG